rnacentral:ncRNA from 2 species
AAUUUAAGGUUUUGGGAAGAAAAUACAUAGUAUUAGCAGGAGAGAAUCCGGUGUGAGUCCGGAGCUACAGCCAUAACUGUAAGAGCAUUUUUGCUUAAGCCAGAUCGCUCGUCCCACAAAUCAGAAA